AGUGAACGCUGGCGGCGUGCCUAAUACAUGCAAGUCGAACGGAGUGGCGCACGGGUGAGUAAUAUAUAGCUAAUCUGCCCCUUGCUGGAGGACAACAGUUAGAAAUGACUGCUAAUACUCCAUAGCAAGUGAUGCGAAUAUAUCGUAUCAGCUCGUCGGUGGGGUAACGGCCUACCGAGGCUAUGACGCGUAAAUGGUCUGCGAGGAUGAUCAGUCACAUUGGAACGGAGACACGGUCCAAACUCCGACGGGAGGGAGCGGUAGGUAAUAUUGCGAAAUGGGGGAAACCCUGACGCAGCAACGCCGCGUGAAGGAUGACACUUGUCGGAGCGUAAACUACUUUUGUUAGGGAAGCGGUACCUAACGAAUAAGCACCGGCUAACUCCGUGCCAGUAGCCGCGGUAAUAC
rnacentral:rRNA from 1 species